rnacentral:tRNA from 1 species
GGCGAGAUAGCUCAGUUAGGUAGAGCACACGACUGAAAAUCGUGGUGUCCCCGGUUCGAGUCCGGGUCUCGCCA